GCCGUGGUGCCCGAGUGGCGAAGGGGCCGGUCUGCAAAACCGGUAAUAUCGCAGGUUCGAAUCCUGUCCACGGCU
rnacentral:tRNA from 1 species